rnacentral:rRNA from 1 species
GACGAACGCUGGCGGCGUGCUUAACACAUGCAAGUCGAACGGAAAGGCCUUUUCGGAGGUACUCGAGUGGCGAACGGGUGAGUAACACGUGGGUGAUCUGCCCUGCACUCUGGGAUAAGCCUGGGAAACUGGGUCUAAUACCGGAUAGGACCGCACUUUAGUGUGUGUGGUGGAAAGUUUUUUCGGUGUAGGAUGAGCCCGCGGCCUAUCAGCUUGUUGGUGGGGUAAUGGCCUACCAAGGCGGCGACGGGUAGCCGGACUGAGAGGUUGGUCGGCCACAUUGGGACUGAGAGACGGCCCAGACUCCUACGGGAGGCAGCAGUGGGGAAGAUUGCACAAUGGGCGCAAGCCUGAUGCAGCGACGCCGCGUGGGGGAUGACGGCCUUAGGGUUGUAAACUCCUUUCGCCAGGGACGAAGCGUUUUGUGACGGUACCUGGAGAAGAAGCACCGGCUAACUACGUG